rnacentral:lncRNA from 1 species
GAGGGACUUCAAUUCUACAAUUGGUGGUUCCUCAAUAGAAGUGGGAUUGCUCUAUUCUUCAAAUCAAGGUCCAACUUCUUUGGUGCAUAAGAAUAAGAACCUCUGUAAACAAGUGCACUCAUCAUACUCCUCAAUAUUGUUGCUAUCAAAAUUCAUGAUCAUUGUUGCUAAUGCCUCUACCCAAGUCUCUCGUUAAUGGAUGUAAUCAAUGUAUUUUUAUC